rnacentral:lncRNA from 1 species
AGUCCCAAAGAUUCUGAGGAAGAGAAGACAACAUUGCAGGAUGAGCUCUUCUCCCCUUUUGUCCCCAAAACUUGGGCCAGUUCUAGCAAACUCAUACACCACUCCAGUAGCCCUGUGUAGAGGCCCACAUGGAGAGGAACAAAAUUGCCAGCACUAACUCAUGAGGCAUAUGAGUGAACCAACUUAAGAGCAUAUCCUCCAGCCCUGGUCAAGCCUUCAGAUGACUUCAGUCCCUCAGCCCUCAUGUGCUCCAGUUGAGGCCCCAGACAUCAUGGAGCAGAGGACAUUUCCUCAUGAUUAAUUUCAGACCAUACAUCUUUGGCAAGAGUUUCACAGAAACUUCUCAUCGCAUCUUAUCAGGCGGCACACGAUUCUGUUUUGUCUUGGAAUGAAGGAUGCUGACUUUGAUCACUUGCUUGCCGUAGUGUCUGCCAGCCGUCUCCACCAUCAAGCUACUCUUUUCUUCUUUCCUGUGCUGGGCUGUCCUCUGCCCUAAGGCAGAAGCCCUCCUCACUCCUCAGGUCUCCACACUCCAUGCUCAUUGUCUCAUGCUGCCCAAGCUCCUCAUCUCCGUGGAGCCCCACACACCAUGCCGGGUUUAGCCCUGGCCACCCUCUCAUGCCUCUGUCACAGCCUCAGCCUCGAUAUACUGUUGGUCUCCAACACCUCCGUGGGCCACUGCAUGUCCCCUCUGCUCUGGCACAGGUGCCUGCUCUUCUAGGUCUCCCUAAUGGUUUGCGGAUUGAAUAGUUUAAGCAGGGAAGGAAUAGGAAGGAAGGAAGGAAGGAAAGAAGGAAGGAAGAAGGAAGGGGAAGAGGAAGAGAAAGGAGAAGAAAGAGGAGGAGGAGGAAAAAGAGGAAGAAGAAGGAGGAGGAGGAGAAGGAGGAGGAGGGGGAAGAGGAGGAGGAAAAGAAGCAGAGGAAGAAGAAGAAGAGGAAGAAGAAGAAGAAGAAAGAAGAGGAAGAAGAAGAAAGAAGAAGAAGAAGAAG